rnacentral:misc_RNA from 1 species
GUGAAGAACGUAGCGAAAUGCGAUAAGUAGUGUGAAUUGCAGAAUUCAGUGAAUCAUCGAAUCUUUGAACGCACAUUGCGCCUCCUGGUAUUCCGGGAGGCAUGCCUGUUCGAGCGUCAUUAAAAUCACUCAAGCUUAGGUUUACCUAUUGCUUGGUCUUGGAGAUGGAAGCAAAUUCAUUGGAAUCCUCUUCGAAAUCCAAUGGCGAAGACCCUUGCUCUCCCAAGUGUAGUAAUAACUUAUGUCACUGAAGGAAGCGAGAAAUCUUCCGCCGUAACCCCCAUAUUUUCUAUGAUUGACCUCGGAUCAGGUAGGGAUACCCGCUGAACUUAAGCAUAUCAAUAAGCGGAGGA